rnacentral:rRNA from 1 species
UUAGAUACCCUGCUAUACCUGGAUUAUAAGUUUCUCACCAGGGUAAUAAAUAGUUAUUUUCUCGAAACCCAAAGAGUUUGGCGGUAGCUCAGCCUAGUUAGAGGAGCUUGUUCGGUAAACGAUAAUCCCCGAAAAAUCUUACGCGUUCUUGUAAACAGUUUAUAUACCGUCGUUGUUAGAUAAUGCUAAAAGGCGAAUAAUUGUCUUAAUAUGAAAAACAUAAUAUAUCAGAUCAAGGUGUAACUUAUGAAUGCGAGUUGAAUGAGCUACAAUUUAAAUUAUAAAUUACGGAAAUUGGUUUAAAAUAAUCAAUCGAAGGAGGAUUUAAUUGUAAUUUUAGUUUUAGUAUGUUAAAAUGAUAUUAGCUCUGAGAUAUGUACACAUCGCCCGUCGCUC